rnacentral:rRNA from 1 species
GAUCCUGGCUCAGAUUGAACGCUGGCGGCAUGCCUUACACAUGCAAGUCGAGCGGCAGCGCGGGGGCAACCCUGGCGGCGAGCGGCGAACGGGUGAGUAAUACAUCGGAACGUGUCCUGCAGUGGGGGAUAACCUAUCGAAAGGUAGGCUAAUACCGCAUGUGCUCGGGAGAGCAAAGCGGGGGACCGCAGGGCCUCGCGCUACAGGAGCGGCCGAUGUCCGAUUAGCUAGUAGGUGGGGUAAGAGCCCACCUAGGCGACGAUCGGUAGCUGGUCUGAGAGGAUGAUCAGCCACACUGGGACUGAGACACGGCCCAGACUCCUACGGGAGGCAGCAGUGGGGAAUUUUGGACAAUGGGGGCAACCCUGAUCCAGCCAUGCCGCGUGAGUGAAGAAGGCCUUCGGGUUGUAAAGCUCUUUCGGCGGGAACGAAAGGGGUCGUGCUAAUACCAUGGCCCGAUGACGGUACUCGCAGAAGAAGCACCGGCUAACUACGUGCCAGCCGCCGC